rnacentral:tRNA from 1 species
ACAACCGUAGCUCAUCUAUUCAGAGCAACACCACUCUCUAUGACCCGGUCCAGAGGUCGGUGGUUCGAAUCCACUCGGUCGUACCA